rnacentral:piRNA from 1 species
ACGUAUUGGGGUUAGAAGAUGGUUAA